rnacentral:rRNA from 1 species
AGAGUUUGAUCAUGGCUCAGAUUGAACGCUGGCGGCAGGCCUAACACAUGCAAGUCGAACGGUAACAGGAAGAAGCUUGCUUCUUUGCUGACGAGUGGCGGACGGGUGAGUAAUGUCUGGGAAACUGCCUGAUGGAGGGGGAUAACUACUGGAAACGGUAGCUAAUACCGCAUAACGUCGCAAGACCAAAGAGGGGGACCUUCGGGCCUCUUGCCAUCGGAUGUGCCCAGAUGGGAUUAGCUAGUAGGUGAGGUAACGGCUCACCUAGGCGACGAUCCCUAGCUGGUCUGAGAGGAUGACCAGCCACACUGGAACUGAGACACGGUCCAGACUCCUACGGGAGGCAGCAGUGGGGAAUAUUGCACAAUGGGCGCAAGCCUGAUGCAGCCAUGCCGCGUGUAUGAAGAAGGCCUUCGGGUUGUAAAGUACUUUCAGCGGGGAGGAAGGGAGUAAAGUUAAUACCUUUGCUCAUUGACGUUACCCGCAGAAGAAGCACCGGCUAACUCCGUGCCAGCAGCCGCGGUAAUACGGAGGGUGCAAGCGUUAAUCGGAAUUACUGGGCGUAAAGCGCACGCAGGCGGUUUGUUAAGUCAGAUGUGAAAUCCCCGGGCUCAACCUGGGAACUGCAUCUGAUACUGGCAAGCUUGAGUCUCGUAGAGGGGGGUAGAAUUCCAGGUGUAGCGGUGAAAUGCGUAGAGAUCUGGAGGAAUACCGGUGGCGAAGGCGGCCCCCUGGACGAAGACUGACGCUCAGGUGCGAAAGCGUGGGGAGCAAACAGGAUUAGAUACCCUGGUAGUCCACGCCGUAAACGAUGUCGACUUGGAGGUUGUGCCCUUGAGGCGUGGCUUCCGGAGCUAACGCGUUAAGUCGACCGCCUGGGGAGUACGGCCGCAAGGUUAAAACUCAAAUGAAUUGACGGGGGCCCGCACAAGCGGUGGAGCAUGUGGUUUAAUUCGAUGCAACGCGAAGAACCUUACCUGGUCUUGACAUCCACGGAAGUUUUCAGAGAUGAGAAUGUGCCUUCGGGAACCGUGAGACAGGUGCUGCAUGGCUGUCGUCAGCUCGUGUUGUGAAAUGUUGGGUUAAGUCCCGCAACGAGCGCAACCCUUAUCCUUUGUUGCCAGCGGUCCGGCCGGGAACUCAAAGGAGACUGCCAGUGAUAAACUGGAGGAAGGUGGGGAUGACGUCAAGUCAUCAUGGCCCUUACGACCAGGGCUACACACGUGCUACAAUGGCGCAUACAAAGAGAAGCGACCUCGCGAGAGCAAGCGGACCUCAUAAAGUGCGUCGUAGUCCGGAUUGGAGUCUGCAACUCGACUCCAUGAAGUCGGAAUCGCUAGUAAUCGUGGAUCAGAAUGCCACGGUGAAUACGUUCCCGGGCCUUGUACACACCGCCCGUCACACCAUGGGAGUGGGUUGCAAAAGAAGUAGGUAGCUUAACCUUCGGGAGGGCGCUUACCACUUUGUGAUUCAUGACUGGGGUGAAGUCGUAACAAGGUAACCGUAGGGGAACCUGCGGUUG